rnacentral:tRNA from 1 species
UCCCUGGUGGUCCAGUGGUUAAGACACUGCACCCUCCAUGCAGGGUACACAGGUUCAAUGCCUGGUUCAGGGAA